rnacentral:rRNA from 1 species
UACGGAGGGUGCGAGCGUUGUCCGGAAUCACUGGGCGUAAAGGGCGCGUAGGCGGCCUGAUAAGUAGGGGGUGAAAUCCUGCGGCUUAACCGCAGGGCUGCCUUCUAAACUGUCAGGCUCGAGCACAGUAGAGGCAGGUGGAAUUCCCGGUGUAGCGGUGGAAUGCGUAGAGAUCGGGAAGAACAUCAGUGGCGAAGGCGGCUGCCUGGGCCUGGCCUGACGCUGAGGCGCGAAAGCUGGGGGAGCAAACGGG